ACAGGUGUGACCCGGGUCCCCACCCUCAGUGGGAUUAUCAGUGUCUUCUUUCAGACAACACAACUGCAUAGACCAGACUUCAUGAAUCAUCUGCGUUUGUCCAAGAAGACACGCAGACAUAACUCCAUCCACGAACCUUCUGUACCAGGAACAACAGCUUCCACCACCCUGAAGACAACAUCAGGUAAAAUAAGUCUAUCAAACAAGUGUUAAAGGGAGAUAUUGAGGUGCAGAACUUUCAAACUGUUACACUGAGAACUUUGGAUGUAGUUACCCUUUCAAACAUAAAGUUAUACGACAAAAAGUGACCUUUUGAAAAUUAGUGAGCCUAUCUUAGAAAUUUGGUUUCAACCUGCCUGCACUCACAGAUUACUUUAUAUAUUCAGUAAAUGACUUUUACUCCUCAAAAAGAAGUAUUGCUCUUUAAAAAUAACAAUACUUUUUAUAUUAAUGAGAUAACAUCUGAGAAAACAGACCUCAAAGUGCACACAGUAAAAGGCAACAGUAAAAACAACAAAUAGAAAUACAAACAACAGUCAGAAUAUAAAAUCAGUCCAGAAAGGCUUUUCUAAAAAGGAAGGUCUUAAGUCCUUUUUUAAAAACAUCCACCGUCUGUGGAGAUCUGAGGUGGUCAGGAAAGGUGUUCCACAGACGGGGAGCAGCAGCCUCGAAGGCCCUUUCACCCAUGGUCUUGAGCCGAGUCCUGGGUGGGUGCAGAUGGUGCAAUUGGCCUGACCGGGUUUUGGCUGAGGUGUGUGGGGUGAGGAGUUUGGUGAGGCAGGUGGGGGCUGCACCUUGAAGACAGUGAUAGGUGUGGAGGAGGAUUUUGUUGAGUUUCAUCACUUUUACAGUCUUGACUGUCCUACCACAGCAGAGAUGACAUAGAAUAUGCAGUUUGGGGUCUUACCACUAGAGGAGACUGAUGUCAUAUCUAGUUGUUACAGAUCCACAUUUACCAACAUGUUAAAAAAAAAAAAAGAUGCACCUUGAAAUUGAUUUUGAUUGAAGUUUUGUGGAGUCAGGUUUGUUGCCAAGUAGUAAUAUGUAAGAGGAUUGCACAACUCCAUGUUCUUGCACCUUUGAUUAAUCCAGAAACAAUGAAAGAUAAAGUUUAACACUAUUCCUGAUCAUUCAGUGAGGGUGGAUGUAAGACGUGCCAAACUACUCUGAUAAAAGUUUAUCUGCAUUAAAACUAAACAACAAGUGCCGCCUUUUUACGAAUAUUGAUAAUCUCUGUCUGUUUCCAGUGAUAAAAUACAUCUGUGUGACAUUUUUUGAGCUAGUGAUGAGAAUUUUUCCCUCAAACUUAUUUCUUUCUCUCCAUCUUUUCUCAUUCAUUUUUUUAUCUGUACACUGAGAAAUACUGAUCUUUACCUCUAUAAUUAUAUUUGUAUAAAUACGGAUGUUGUCUAUCUAUUAUAUCUAUCUAAUCUAUCUUAUCUAUCUAUAUGAAGGUAAAGGACUGUCCUUGGUUGGCCACCUUCAUCACAUCAUGUCACAUGCUCUUCCUCUAAAGAUCCACAUGGUGGUGCUAAAAGCUCACAGGCCUCACUGUGAAGGACAUGAGUCCCUAAAACCAAAGAAGACUGCAGUGACGUGAAUAGAGGAAAGGUUCAAAUCUGGAAUAAUUAACUACAGGCAGAUUUGUAAAUAAAAGGAUAAUCCCUCA
rnacentral:lncRNA from 1 species